AACUCACGAACCAUGAGAACAUGACCUGAGCCGAGUCGGACGCUCAACCGACGGAGCCACGCAGGCGCCCCUCCCCAUCAUUCUUGAAGAAAAGAACUUCUUUUCCAGAAGCUUCCAGCAGUUUUUUUUCUUCUGUAUCACUAGUCUGGAUUGGGCCACUCGUCCAUCCCUAAAGUAAUCGCCCUGACCAGGCAGUGGGUUGUACAAACUGGCGGAGCCUUUCAGGGCUACCUUAGGAGCUGGGUGUGUGCAUGUGUGAGUGUGCACCUGUGUCUGUGUCAAUCCCCACCAAAGCACACGAUCGAGAAAUUCUGGUAGGAAGAGAUGCCGAGAAGAGGAACCGUAAAUGUCCACUGCAGCCAGCAUUUACUGAGUGCCUACUGUGUGCCCAGCUCUCUGGAGCUGCUUUUCGUUUGAGGUGACCUUGACACCUUGGGGACUCAUCUAAUGAGCAGUUGGAUCCAUGGGCUGGAUGCUCACUGGGGAGGACUCUGGAGAGGCUGGGCCAGCCCUACCUCUGCAGGAGUCCAGAACAGUAAGCAGAGCAGUGGGCCCAAGAUGAGGCCCUGGGGAGCCCCCUUAUUGAAGGGGCGCAUGGGGUAAAAGGGUGCCAGGAAGGCACCCGAGAAGGAACAUCAAGAAGGAGGUAGAGGAAGUCACAGCGGCUGAGGAAGGGGGUGUGGAGAAGGGAUGCGUGACCUGUGUGUCAGGUGCACCACGUGAGGAAAUGGGGGGUGCGGCCAGAGUCAUGAUGAUGACUGCUCCCACUUUUGAAGCUCUCCCAAUUCUCCAGGCUCUGUUCCAAGUUCUGAGUGCCCUUACAACCGCUCUAGAGUCUGUCCCAUGAAGGUCUUUAUUUCACAGAUGAGGAUGUGGGAGACCGACUUGGCCAGGGGCCGGUGAAAGACCUGAUGGAGGCAACUAAGGUUGUGCCAGUGGUGACCUUGAUGCCCCCCAUUUCUUUUGGGCAUCCUCCUUCCUCUAGUCGAAGAAGGUUAAUGAGCAUAGCCCGCCCAGCCCCUCUCCAGUCUCACCUAUUGGCCCCGGGAUGAUCACAUGACUUUAUCCAAGUCAAUGGCCUGCAGGCCCGGGACUUUUAGGGGAGAGGAGCUCUAUUUCUUCUGUGCUAAGUACCCAAGAUGGGAUGCCGCGAGGCCUGGAGCUGCUGCAGCCAUCUUGCAGGCAUGAGGGUUUUAAGGCUGUUGGAGAAUAGGGACAACACAGGAUAGGAAGUGGAGCUGAGCCGAGCCACAGAGAGAGCUGGACGACAGUGUGGGAGUGAGCUCCACCUCCAGCUGUACCUGAAGCCUUUCUUGUUACUAAACUAACAUGUCAGCGAGCCAAUAAACUCCACUGCUUGCCUCGUU